UACGUAGGGCGCAAGCGUUGUCCGGAAUUAUUGGGCGUAAAGAGCUCGUAGGCGGUUUGUCGCGUCUGCUGUGAAAUCCCGAGGCUCAACCUCGGGCUUGCAGUGGGUACGGGCAGACUAGAGUGCGGUAGGGGAGACUGGAAUUCCUGGUGUAGCGGUGGAAUGCGCAGAUAUCAGGAGGAACACCGAUGGCGAAGGCAGGUCUCUGGGCCGCAACUGACGCUGAGGAGCGAAAGCAUGGGGAGCGAACCGG
rnacentral:rRNA from 1 species